rnacentral:rRNA from 1 species
UACGUAGGGGGCAAGCGUUGUCCGGAUUUACUGGCGUAAAGAGCGUGUAGGCGGCCACGCAGGUCCGUUGUGAAAACUGGAGGCUCAACCUCCAGCUGUCGACGGAAACCGUAUGGCUAGAGUCCGGAAGAGGAGAGUGGAAUUCCUGGUGUAGCGGUGAAAUGCGCAGAUAUCAGGAAGACACCAAUGGCGAAGGCAGCUCUCUGGGACGGUACUGACGCUGAGACGCGAAAGCGUGGGAGCGAACAGG